CAGACUGUAUUACCCUGCAAAGAGAUGCGAGCAUACAACUGUUCAUAAAGGUUGUCUUAUUGUAGUGGGUCCCACAGAGUCUGAUAUUAUGUGAUAAAACUAUAAUAAUUCAUGUAGAAGCCAGACUAUCUACAACAGCUAGCGAAGAAAUGGAAAAUGGAUACCACAAAAUGCUGCUGGAAAAUCCCAAAAUAAUUAAUGCAGAUGUCAACAGAAAAAAAAAUUCCCAGGGAGAGUCAUCGUGUCUGGAAAAAGACAUAAAAAACUGGCAAACCCUUUCUACAAAGGAUAUGAGGGUACCUAUUUAGG